rnacentral:rRNA from 1 species
AAUGAACGCUGGCGGCAGGCUUAACACAUGCAAGUCGAACGAGUGGCGGACGGGUGAGUAAUGCAUGGGAAUCUAGCUUAUGGAGGGGGAUAACUACGGGAAACUGUAGCUAAUAACGCGUACCAUAGGAUGAGCCCAAGUGGGAUUAGGUAGUUGGUGUGGUAAAGGCUCACCAAGCCGACGAUCUCUAGCUGGUCUGAGAGGAUGACCAGCCACACUGGGACUGAGACACGGCCCAGACUCCUACGGGAGGCAGCAGUGGGGAAUAUUUCACAAUUGGCGAAAGCCUGAUGCAGCCAUGCCGCGUGUAUGAAGAAGGCCUUAGGAUUGUAAAGUUCUUUCAGCGGGGAGGCGUUACCCGCACAGGAAGCACCGGCUAACUACGUGCCAGCAGCCGCGGUAAUUC